rnacentral:rRNA from 1 species
UUCGAUUAUGGCUCAGAUUGAACGCUUACAGAUGCUUUACACAUGCAAGUCGAACGGCAGCACGGACUGGUCUGGUGGCGAGUGGCGAACGGGUGAGUAAUGUAUCGGAACGUGCCUAGUAGCGGGGAUAACUACGCGAAAGCGUAGCUAAUACUGCAUACCCUUCGGGGGAAAGCGGGGACCUCUGGGCCUCGCACUAUUAGAGCGGCCGAUAUCGGAUUAGCUAGUUGCGGGGUAACGGCUCACCAAGGCGACGAUCCGUAGCUGGUUUGAGAGGACGACCAGCCACACUGGGACUGAGACACGGCCCAGACUCCUACGGAGGCAGCAGUGGGGAAUUUUGACAAUGGGGAAACCCUGAUCCAGCCAUCCUGCGUGCGAUGAAGGCCUUCGGGUUGUAAAGCACUUUUGGCAGAAAAAGAAACGGCACGGGAUAAUACCCCGUGCAACUGACGGUACCUGCAGAAUAAGCGCACCGGCUAACUACGUACAGCAGUCGCGGUAAUACGUAGGGUGCAAGCGUUAAUCGGAAUUACUGGGCGUAAGCGUGCGCAGGCGGUUCGGAAAGAAAGAUGUGGGAAUCCUAGAGCUUAAUCCUGGGAACUGCAUUUUUAACUACCGAGCUAGAGUGUGUCAGAGGAGGAAUUCAGGUAGCAGUGAAAUGCGUAGAUAUGCGGAGGAACACCGAUGGCGAAGGCAGCCUCCACAACACUGACGCUCAUGCACGCCGGGGAGCAAACAGGAUUAGGAUAAUUCUGGUAGUCCACGCCCUAAACGAUGUCAACUAGCUGUUGGGGCCUUCGGGCCUUGGUAGCGCAGCUAACGCGUGAAGUUGACCGCCUGGGGAGUACGGUCGCAAGAUUAAAACCUCUAAGGAAUUGACGGGGACUCAGUACGCGGUGGGUGAUGGUGGAUUAACUGAUGCAACGCGAAAACCUUACCUACCCUUGACAUGUCUGAACCUGAAGAGCACUGGGAGGCGUGCUCGCAAGAGAACCGGAACACAGGUGCUGUGUAUGGCUGUCGUCAGCUCGUGUCGUGAGAUGUUGGGCUAAGUCCCGCAACGAGCGCAACCCUUGUCAUUGAAGUCACGAAAGGGCACUGAAUGAGACUGCCGGUGACAAACCGGAGGAAGGUGGAUGACGUCAAGUCCUCAUGGCCCUUAUGGGUAGGGCCAGACGUCGCGGCAAUGACGGGACAGAGGGUCGCCAACCCAUGAGGGGAGCCAAUCCCAGAAACCCGAUCGUAGUCCGGAUCGCAGUCUGCAACUCGACUGCGCAGUCGGAAUCGCUGGCAAUCGCGGAUCAGCAUGUCGCGGUGAAUACGUUCCCGGGUCUUGUACACACCGCCCGUCACACCAUGGGAGUGGGUUUUACCAGAAGUAGUUAUCAACUGCAAGGAGGGCGGAUUACCACGGUAGGAUUCAUGAUGGGGUGAAGUCGUAACAAGGUAA